rnacentral:rRNA from 1 species
AGAGGCUCAAGUUGAUAAACCCCGGCGUAAAGAGUGGUUAAGGAAGAUUAAAAACUAAAGCCGAAUGCUUUCAAAGCUGUUAUACGCUUCCGAGAGUAAGAAGAUCAACUACGAAAGUGACUUUAUAGCCCCUGACCCCACGAAAGCUAUGGCACAAACUGGGAUUAGAUACCCCACUAUGCCUAGCCCUAAACAUUGGCAACACCCUACAUCUGUUGCCCGCCAGGAAACUACGAGCAUUA